rnacentral:rRNA from 1 species
AUUGAACGCUGGCGGCAGGCCUAACACAUGCAAGUCAAACGGUAACAGGAAGAAGCUUGCUUCUUUGCUGACGAGUGGCGGACGGGUGAGUAAUGUCUGGGAAACUGCCUGAUGGAGGGGGAUAACUACUGGAAACGGUAGCUAAUACCGCAUAACGUCGCAAGACCAAAGAGGGGGACCUUCGGGCCUCUUGCCAUCGGAUGUGCCCAGAUGGGAUUAGCUAGUAGGUGGGGUAACGGCUCACCUAGGCGACGAUCCCUAGCUGGUCUGAGAGGAUGACCAGCCACACUGGAACUGAGACACGGUCCAGACUCCUACGGGAGGCAGCAGUGGGGAAUAUUGCACAAUGGGCGCAAGCCUGAUGCAGCCAUGCCGCGUGUAUGAAGAAGGCCUUCGGGUUGUAAAGUACUUUCAGCGGGGAGGAAGGGAGUAAAGUUAAUACCUUGGCUCAUUGACGUUACCCGCAGAAGAAGCACCGGCUAACUCCGUG